AGGAAGGAAAUCCGUGAUAUUUGCUUCAGCCUCAAAGAGCAUGUUUCUGUAAAAUUAAAUGAGCACUGGCAGUGAGCUGCCCCUUUUUUCCUAAACGGGAAAAGGGUUAAUAUUGCAAACUUUUCCUCAGCUUCUAUGCAACUGAGACAAAUACUGUGCUAACUCAUGAGGACCUCUGGAACCAUGAUAUGUUAACUUGUCUUUCUCUUAUCUAAGUCCUUUUCUGCCCACAGCUUCUCUGUACAUCAAAAUAGUGCCUACCAGAGGCCCCAUUCAACCUUUAGAUUUAGUUAUAAUUUUUCCCAUGGACAGAGGAUAAGAUGUAGAGAAGCAUCCCUCUGGGGCCUGAAAAUUGUCAGUCAAGAGAGGAUGCAUGGGGUUAGGUGGUGCUGCACCAACGCCAGGCACCAGAUCCAGACUAGCAGAGGCAUCCUGUGGGCCUUAAUGUUUUUUGUUUUUUUGUUUUUUUGUUUUUGUUUGUUUUUGAGACAGCCUUGCUCUGUCACCCAGGCUGGAGCGCAGUGGUGCAAUCUCAGCUCACUGCAACCUCUGCCUCCCAGGUUCAAAUGAUUCUCAUGCCUCAGCCUCUCUAGUAGCCGGGAUUACAGGCAUGUGCCACCGCGCCCGGCUAAUUUUCGUAUUUUUACUAGAGACGGGGUUUUGUCAUGUUGUCCAGGAUGGUCUCGAACUCCUGGCCUCAGGUGAACUGCCCACCUUGAGCUCCCAAAGUGCUGGGAUUACAGACAUGAGCCACCACACCCAGCCUUGUAGUCCUUAAUUAAUUUAGUUUUUUUGUAUGUAGAGUUCUCUAAAUUGCAGGGCCCAGUCAGGGGCUCCUCUUGUCAGCUCUAAGGACAGGACUGGGAAAAUAUACUUCUGGAAAUAAAUUGCUGUAGAAAACAGAGGAUUUUUUUUCCCCCCGAGAUGGAGUCUUGCUCUGUUGCCCAGAGCUGGAGUGCAAUGGCGCAAUCUUGGCUCACUGCAACCUCCCCCUUCCGGGUUCAAGCAAUUCUCCUGCCUCAGCCUCCCGAGUAGCUGGGAUUACAGGUGCCUGCCAUCACACCUGGCUAAUUUUUGUAUUUUUAGUAGAGACGGGGUUUCACCAUGUUGGCCAGGCUGGUCUCAAACUCCUGACCUUGUGAUCUGCCCACCUAGACCUCUCAAAGUGUUGUGAUUACAGGCGUGAGCCACAGCGCCCACCCUACAGAGAGGAAAUUUUAAGGAAAUGUCUGCUUUGAAUACUCAAUAAAAUAUAAGACAAAACCAAAAAUGAUACAGUGUGCUGAAAUUCUGACAGCAAUGAUAAAAGAAUUUUCAAGGAACUGAAAUCCAGUGACAAAAAUGAAAUCGAUCAAGGCUGUAGUUGCACACCUGAGACAUUCCUCGAGAAGGCAGAGGAGAAAGGUGUGAAAAACAGUGAACCAGAGAAGGAUGGCCAGGGACAACAAAGAUUGGAGCUCGGAAGUUGAAUGACAGAUAUUCUGGAGAAACACACCAGAGAUGACAAAAGGUGGAGGAGUGCUCUGUUUACCAGGCUGGAGAACAGUGGUGCAGUCUUGGCUCACUACAACCUCCAUCUCCCAGGUUCAAGUUAUUCUCCUGCCUCAGCCUCCUGAGUAGCUGGGAUUGCAGAAGUAGGACCCUUCUUUGAAUGAAACUUAGUAAGAUUCAUAUAAGUAACAGAACCUUCCAGGUCUGAGCUGAGGUGUCAUCUCUGAACACCAGGCUGCUGCACUAACCAGAAGACCCCUCCCCACCUGCAGUGGCCUCGCUGCAUCGUAAGGAUGGAGGAGCUGUUGUCUCCACAGCUGACAGGUGCUUAGUGGUUAGAAGUCUGGUUUUCGCGCGGCUUAGAUCUUUAACAUCUGAACUAGUCCUGUCAACAUAUUUUGUUAUAUUUCUGGUGGCUUUGUCUUUGAUGCUAUUAUAAAUGAUUAUCUUUUAAAAUAAUACUUUGAUGAUAUAUAGAAAUGAAAUUGAUUUAUUUGACUGUAUCCAGCAACCUUUUCAAAUUCUAAUAAAUUGUGUAGGGAAAAAAAAGUCUGGCUUCGGAGUCAGAACGGAAUUGAAUCCUGCCUCCACCACUUCCUACCUAUAUGACCUGGUGAAACUUAUCCCUCUCUGUGACUCAGUUUCCUCAUCUGUAAAAUGGGAAAAUUGAAAGCAACUAACAGGUUUGGGGCCGUUUUGCUUGCUGCUGCUGUGGCUUCAGUGCUGAGGCCUGGCACUCAGCGGGAUGUCAGCCCAGGACUGGAGCUUCUUUCUCAUGGUAUUAUUUUGAAUUUAGAUGAAAAGAGGUAUUCCAGGAGAGCUCCUGGCACAGGGCCUGGCAGGUGGCACAUCCUCAGUAAAUGUGAGCUGCUGUCAGCUGCUGUGUGAGUGCCUGGUGUGGCCCUGUUGUCCCCUUGAGGGUUGGGGGACAAAACAGGCCCUCAGGAAGCCUGCCUGUGUAUUCGGGGGCUGGGGAGAUCUCUGACCUCCUGUCUCCUAGCUCCACCAGCAUCUCUCACCUCCCCCAGCAAUGUACAACCCCUUCUUUUCCCAUAGCUUAGGCCCCUGAGGUACCAGCCCCCCAGCCUAGGGACAGCCCAGUGGCAAACUCCUGGUGACCUGGGUCAAGCUGCUGUUCUCCAAUCCCAACUCGGCUCUUCCCGUGACUUGGCCCCCAGGCCUUGGGUGAGGCUCCGAUGAAAUAACACACAGGAAUGUGCGCUGAACACUGCCAAGCACUGCAGGUGGGCAGGGGCUUUGUGCUCCCCAGCGACUGUUCCUAUCCUGCGGGAAUGGAGGAGACCGACAAAGAAGCCCCACUCCUGGGCUGACAUCCUGCCAGUGCCAGCCGGGCCUCAGCACCAGUGGGUCAGCCAGAACAGCAACGACGAACAAUGAGGCCCCAAACCCGUGGGCCCCCCACUUUCUAUCUUGAAUUUCUCUGUCUUUCCUAGGCCAGCAAUGUUUGAGAGGGAGAGCGAGCUGAAGAUUUCCUGAUUUCAGAUAGGCCUAGAGAAGGAUUGUAAUUUUCUAGUGUGAAAAGGAAGUGGCACAAAGAUGAGGGCAAUGAAGAAGAUGGUUCAAUGGAAGUACCAGGGUCCUGUAAAUAGGGAACGUGUUUUAUGAUCAAACCGUUCUUUGCAUUUUUGGUGAUUUUGAGGUUUAAUUUCCUCUAUGUAGUUAGUUAACUAUUUAACACUGAGAGCAGGGGUAGGGAUAAGGCAAACAACAAAAAAGCCAAAAUGAAACCAACUUCUGUGGGGUUUCCCCACCCCAGGGAGGUGGAGGCUGAGGUAGAACUGACUGAGAGAAUCACCCUCCCUGCACUGUGAUGAAGACACAUCCACACAUCAGGACUACACAGCUGGCAGGUGCUGGCUGUCCAGAGGAGCAAACAGCUUCUUCCUUGUGUUUCUGUGUCUCUUAGUAGAAAUCUGUGCCCUUGGGAGAAAACUGAAUUUGCACCCCUUGAGGCAAACACUUGACCAAAUGAAUUAGGCAGAUGGGUGGAUGGGUGGGUGAAUGGGCAGGAGGUGUGACAGGCAGGAGGCGUGACAGGGAAAGAACACUGUUCUGACAGGCACACACUGCCACAUCUGCCCUCCCAACAACCCCGAUACAGACACUGUUGUUAACCCUCCUUUUACAGAUGAGGAAACUGAAGUUAAUUUGCUCGUGGUAACACAGCUAGGCAAGUGGCUACGUUCAGCUGGAGAAAAGGAAAAUUCUGAAAGACUUUAGGAUACAUCUUAUUCAAAAGCAUUUGGUGAACAUAAAUAUGUACCCAAGGUAUAAUAUUAAGUGAACCAAGCUUGUUAUAAAGCAGUAUGAGUCCUGUCUGAUUCCAACUUUAUAAAAAAUAGAUGCAUAUGUCAAUAAAUGCACAGAAAAGGGUAUACCCUAAAAUGUUAAUAAUGGUGAUCUCUGGGUUAUGACACAAAAUAUUGAUUGGUCUUUGGGCUUUUCUUUAAUUUUAAAAUGUUAAUAGACAUGUAUUAUCUUAAUAAUGGGAGGAGCCACAGAAAAAGUGCUUUUCAAAAACAUGAAAUCAAUAAGCCCAUGCAGGACCUGCAGGGGGCUGCAGUCACCUGGGCCUCAUAGGCUUGGCAAAGGCUUUAGUUAUGCCCUGAUUGGAGGCCACUGGCAUGGAGAAGCUGUAGGUCAGCUAACUGGAACUAGGACAUCCAAUGUGAUUGGUUAUGUGUGCAUAUUUGUCUUUCUUCAUUGGGUCCUAAGUUGCAAGCAGGCGCAAAAAUUAAGGAAGCUGUGAGUCAAUGAAGUCCUGGCUGUUUUUCAGCUGGUUGCUAUAGGGUUGUUUUUUGACUUUCUAGACUGGUUGCUGUAGAGGUGGGUCAGAGUUUUACUUUCAUCUAUGGUCUGGCCAUUGUAUUUGUAUAUUCAGUCUCUUAGUCACCCCUUUUGGUCAUUCGCUUACUUUCAAGAGGUUGGCCAAUUCAAGGAAAGCUGGAAAUCUAGCUCUUUAUCACUCAGAGAUUAUUCAGUAAACUCCAUAUAAAACUGUAUUGCAAAAUAUUCCUGACCUUUUUGUUUUUGUAUCAUCAUGGUGAUUUUGACUAGAGAGCAGAUGUGCAGAAGCUUUUAAGAAUCUAGAUAGCACGCAGCAUCAUGUCCACUCUUACAAAGCCAGAAUAAUUAAUAGUUCCUAUAAGGUGAUUUGGAACCAGGAACCUCAAUUGCCAAAUCAAGGCCAAAAUAACAAAUUUGAUAGAUUAUGGGAUCAACCUUAGCCAAAUAGCUUAUACCAUGAAACAAUAUAUAAUAGUUCCAACUUGCUUGUUUCUUUGAUCCAAGGACAAGAAGUAUGAGCAACGGCACAGACACCAGGAUGACUAAAAGAAAAAAAAAAAAAAAACCUAGGGUAAUGUUAUUGUCUAUCACUGCCCAUGCCAAUGAGUUGAGAUUGUUCUGUAUUUGUAUCUAGGACAAAGGCAAUAUCAUCAAUAACUUCUGCCAGAGUGAGUAUCUUAGUCCAUUCAGGCUGCUGUACUAAAAUACCAUAAUUUGGGUGGCUUAUAAAGAAUAGAAAUGUAUUUCUUUCAGUUCUAGAAACUGAGAAAAUCAAGAUAAAGACGCCAGCAGACUCGAGGCCAGGUGUGAUAGCUCAUGCCUGUAAUCCCAGAACUUUGGGAGGCUGAGGUGGGUGGAUCACCUGAGGUCUGGAGUUCAAGACCAGCUUGACCAACAUGGAGAAACCCCGUCUCUACUAAAAAUACAAAAUUAGCCAGGUGUGGUGGUGGGCAACUGUAAUCCCAGCUACUCAGGAGGCGGAGACGGAAGAAUUCCUUGAACCGGGAGGCGGAGGUUGUAGUGAGCUGAGAUCGCGCCACUGCUCCCCAGCCUGGGCCGGAGCCAGACUGUGUCUCAAAAACAAACAACAAAAUAAAACAAGAAAAGAUUUAAUGGAAGACCUCAAUAAGCCAUUGUAGGCUGUAAAAUUCACCUAGUCCAAUCUUUCAGAGUCGUUUUGGACUUGAUAGUAGCUCAGUACCAAGAUCAUUACAGAAGUUAAUACCAAUAAUAGCCAUUGAAUAUAUUGUCUCUAUAAUGUGGAUCAAAUUCUCAUUUGACUGUACUGACAUUGGUGAUAGAAGGUGCAACCUGAUUUACGCUGGGGUAUAUCAGGUGAUUAAAGUUAAGGCAGGCUAGAGAAAAAGUGAAAGCACUCAAAUUGCUGAUUUGGAGUGAAUGAUAAAGCAAUUUAAUACACCGUCUCUAAAGCAUCCGUUUUCGCCUGUCCGAAGAGUUUUAAAGGAUAUUUGGCCAGAAAAUUUCUACCAUGUGUCAGAAUAUUAAUUUGCAUGUAUGCAUUCAUAGUUCAUGGGAUAUUAUUUUAGUGGUUUUAUUAUAACUGCAUAGAAUGGUUUGCUUCUUACUGAAGAUCUUUCUUUUUUUCUUUCGUUCUUUCUCUUUCUUACAGCCAUAGGUGCUUUAAGUCAUUAAACUUUGAGCACUGUAAAAAUAUCUAAAGAGUGCUUAUUUUUAUAACAUUAAUACUCCAUUUGCAACUUUAAUUAUAGUUACUUCAUUUUUAAAAUCUCAGAAGAUAAUGAAAUAUGUAGAAUUGCCAAAACAAUUGAGAAAGCUCACUGCAUUCGUUUGGUAGAGCUGUCGUAACAAAGUGCCAUGGACUGGAUGGCUUAAACAGAAACUUACUUUCUCACAGUUUUAGAUGCCAAAAGUCCAAGAUUAAAGGUAUUGGUAGGUUUGGUUUCUUCUGAGACCUAUUCAAUUGGUCCAUAGACUGCUAUCGUCUCCCCGUGUCUUUACAUCGUCAUUUCUCUGUAUGUGUCUGUGUGUAAAUGUUCUCCUCUUAGAAGCACGCCAGUCACAUUGGAUUAGGACGCACCCUACUGACCUUAUUUAACCUUAAUUGUGUACUUCUCUAAAGACCUUGUCUCCAAGUAUAGAUACUCCGUGAUAUUGAGGGUUAGGACUUCAACACAUGAAUUUGGCGGGGGUGGGUGGGCACAAUUUAGCUCAUAAAACUCACUAAGGUUUAAUUAGGGCAUGGACUGUAGAGCAUUCUACUGUUAAUUUAGUUUUUGUGUUUGGAAAGCAUUUUGAAACAUAAUGAUUUUUAUUUACAAUUUCAUUAUUUAUAUUUUCAUUAUGUUUAGGGUUGCUUGGAGGUAAAUGAAGAAAGAAGAGUUCCGCAUUAGUGAGGCAGGGAUGUCAGUAUAUAAGGAAUUGGAAAGACAUCAGUGAUAAUGGCAAAAGCUGCUUAUAAAUUAAAUUAAGAGCUUAAUUAAACUGAGGAAAAAAGCAUAUUGCCAAAUUACAUGCAGUUGUUUUGUAACAGCAUUUGUCCACUUGCUGUGCCCUGAGAUUUCCAAGGCACAUUCCUCUACUAAGCGUAUUAUAAGAUGAUUAAAUAUGCAUAGUACAAGUAUGUUAUGGAAGGCUGUGUUAACUGAUAUAGUGGGACCACAAUAGUAUGUGUAAGUGAGAUUUGGAAAAUUUGAUAUGCCAGCAAGGACAAAGAAGUGUUGAAUUUGCAAGUUUAUGCACAUAAUUCUGAGAAUCCAGGCAGCUAUUUCUCCUUUUGAAUUGUUCUCUUGGCUAGGGGAUAAGGGUGAGACACAAUACACAUUUGAAUGUGUCACUGUGUAAGUUACCACUGCAAUAUCUUCUGUAUGUUGAAAAACUGGUACUUAUAUGUACUAAUACUAUCUACCAUGAAAAAAACAAUUAAAAAUUUAAAAUAUCAUGUAAAUUAAAUAAAGUUCAAAUACCACUAGCCAGAAAAAAAUAUUUUAUAUUAUAGUCUGGGGUCAGAAGAGGAAAACCUUAUGUAAAGUAUCAAAAUUAAUUUUUAUUUCAAUUUAAAUGCACCAUCAUAUAACAUAGUUUCAUAACUGAAAUUACAUUUGUCAGAAUUUGAUCUUUUCAUUAUUAAAGAAUUGAGGGAAAAUUGAUGGUUAUAAUAUUGAUAUGCCAUGUAAAUAAACUUUUUUUGAUUGUUAUAGGAAUGAAUUGCUCAACUAAUUGGCCAAUGUCAACCACAUAUCUGUUUCCAUGGAAACUGCAGCAAUAUUACUUCAAAUAGUUUCAUUUGUGAAUGUGAUAAACAAUUUUCAGAUAAAAAAUGUAUACAUACAUAUACCAUUUGUCCUGGAUUUUUUUUUUUUUUUUUUUUUUUUUUUGUGAGACGGAGUCUAGCUCUAUCACCCAGGCUGGAGUGCAGCGGCGCGAUCCCGGCUCACUGCAAGCUCCACCUCCCGGGUUCCCGCCAUUCUCCUGCCUGAGCCUCCCGGGUCGCUGGGAUUACAAGUGCCCGCCGCUACACCCGGCUAAUUUUUUAUAUUUUUAGUAGAGAUGGGGUUUCACCUGUGUUAGCCAGGAUGAUCUCGAUCUCCUGACCUCGUGGUCCACCCGCCUCGGCCUCCCAAAGUUCUGGGAUUACAGACGUGAGCCACCGCGCCCGGCCUUGUCCUGGAUUUUUUAACCAAGCACUAUUAUUUAUAGUUGCGUUAAAAUAAAUAGGGAUGGGUUUGAUAAGUCACCACUUGGUGCUUUAAAUUCUGCCAUCAUCUUUUCUAGGAGUGUAAGAUAUAGAGAUACACAUAAGCAGAAAAUUUUUUUUAACAUGAGGAUAAUAUGAUAAUGUAACCAGUGAUAACCUACCUCUCUUUUUCAAUGCUUUCCAGAUGCAAAUUGUAUUGUAUCAAUCAUUCAAGGACAGCUUGUAGGACUUUGAAGACCCAAGCAGCCAAAAAAUAGCUAAUUCCUCCUUAUUUCAGUUGGUAUGAAGAGAAGGUUACUAAUAAUGCUGCUCUUCCAGCACAAGUCUUCUGGGCUGUCAGUGAGCUUGGUCAGUGGGAACCACAGGAAAUUAUGAGUUAUGUUUGUUAUAUAUGAGAGGAAAAUUGAGGCUACCAGUCUUGUCACAGGGUUUAUAGAUAAUUGCCUUGUGUGCCACCAUGCCUGGAUAAUUUUUGUAUUUUUAGUAGACAGGGGAUUUCACCAUGUUGGCCAGGCUGGUCUCAAGCUCCUGACCUCAGGUGAUCUGCCUGCCUUGGCCUCCCAAAGUGCUGGGAUUACAGGCGUGAGCCACCGCGCCCAGCACCCCAUUAAAUCUUAUCACAAAGCCUCUUCAAACUUGGCUCCAAUGGAGGGAAUUGAUACUUCAGCAAUAUUCUGUCUUCUACUCCAUGAGCAUAAACUGAUGCUAUCCUGAGCAAACUAGAAUGAUUACCCUAUGAAGGUUCAGUAACUAUAAUAGGGGUAUUUUUGGCAUUAGUUUGAGACCUACAGCCUGUGCCAAAAGUGAACAGGAAGCAUCACAUUUAAAAGAUGUAUAAAAUAUGUCUAUAUCUAUCCAUUUGAUAUGGCUUGACUGUGUCACCACCCAAAUCUUAUUUGGAAUUCCCACAUGUUGUAGGAGGGAACCGGUAGGAGGUAAUUGAAUCAUGGGGGCAAGUCUCCCGUGCUAUUUUCAUGAUAGUGAAUAAGUCUCACGAUAUCUGAUGGUUUUAAAAAAAGGAGUUCCCCUGCACAAGCUCUCUGUGUUUGCCUACUGCCAUCCAUGUAAGACGUGACUUGCUCCUCCUUGCCUUCUAAUACAUCAUCUAUCUGGUUAUUUCAUACAUAUUUUCUAGCAUUUUAUUAUUGGUUUCUUCAAAACUCUUCAGAAACUAAUAUAUGUAUAUUUUCCACCAUGAUCAACUGUGCAUAUUAAUAUAUAUUAUUUGGUAUAUGAAUGUGGAUUCAUAAUUGAGAUUAUGUUCCAAUGAGUCAUAGUAAAAGUACAGAAAAUUAAUAUUUCUAAUGCCUUAUCAACCGAUGAUUAUUAUAAAAUUAGCCUUUAUGUCAAGUUCUCAUUGCUCUUGAAUUUCAUUCCAAACAGAAUUUUGGAAUUCAUAUUAUUUGGAAUAGUAUAGCUGUCAUACCUAAAUUAGUUUAAUAACCCACAUCUAAUGCAAAUUUACAUUAAGAUUUUACAUAAAUAAUUAUGGUGUAGAGUAUGACAAUCCUAUUUCAAAACCACAGAGCCCUUAGAAAAACAAAUUCUUGAUUUUUCAGAUAUCUCAAAUACUGUAAAAUACAGUAUAACUAAGAAUAAUUAGCCAUGAGGUCAAACUUCAAUUUCAAACAUUAUAAAAGUAAAAUUAAGAGUUAAAAUCUAAAACCACAUGAAAAUUUAUUCUUCAUUAUAAUCUCAAAUUUGAAAACGUUAUAUAAGAUUUAUGCAUUCAUUAGAAAGUGAUUUAUUGUAAUUUUAUAAGAUUUGCCAAUUUUUAAAGGUGUAUUUUUGAUCAAUGCAAUUAAAUGUUAAAAUUAUUAUGCUAUACAUUAUUAGUUCAUGACACAUUUUCAAAUAUGAAUGUGAUGUAGAAACAGGUGAUUAUCAGAAAAUAAACUCUGUUUUUAGUUUAAGACUAAAUUAAAGCUACCAAAAAGAAAUUUAGUUUCAAGAUAGGAAAGUUUAUUUGUAAGGAUGCUGGGAUGUUUGAACCCAAGAUGAGUGAUGUUUAAAAGGUUUUGCAAUGGCAUUCAAUGAAUAAAAAAUGUUUAGAGUUCAGUAACUUCAGUUACCAUUUUGGACAGAUAACAAGAGAUCCAAUCUGACUAGCAGAGAAUAGUGUAAGACAUUUAGAAUAGUUAGCAGUUUAAAUCAGAGGGUAGACAGAUUAUUUUCCAAUGUAGAGUACAUAUUUCUCCAUUUGCAUAAUCCUCACCAGUGGGUAGAAUUUAUGAAGAAUAGAAUUUGGUUCAUGGAAAGAAAAGCAGGCAGGAACUAAAUCAGAUAUAACUUUCUUCAUAUUUAAUAACUGAAGUUUACUCCUAUUUUGAGACUCAAUUCUGAUAGAAGUUGGAAAAUUAAUCUGUCAGUUUAACCCUAUCUCUAACCCCCUGCCAUGUAGAGAAUUGAACUAGCCUUCGCUCUCAUAAGUGGAAUUUUAAAAAAUAAUGAGUUACAUGAGCUGAUAAGCACACAUGCAUAGUCAAUGUUAAGGCUUAGCAUUUAUAAAAUUUGGGAUGAUAAUUUAUGGCAAAUGUUUAACACAUUUAAUAAGAUAAAUAGUUUUUAAGGCAUUGAAUAGGUAGGAGUUCAUAUGAGUUUACUCUGGGUUGCUAUUACUUUUACAUAGUCAAACUUUAUUUUGUAGUAUUUUUCUUCUUGAUUCUCUAGUCACUAUGAUAAUUAUUAGUAUGGAUGGUGACUUUUAUUUCCAAGCACAGCAUAAUCCACAAUAACAUAACAUUUAAAAGCAAAGGCUCUGUAUCGAUUAUUAACAUGAACAAUUUCCUUUGCUACCAUACUCCAUCCAGAUAAAGAACUGAAUGUUCCUCUGAACCUUCCAAUUAAUUUCCUCCAUUGUGAUGAAUCCUCCAUAGAUUUAUUGGCAAAACAUUAUUUCUAAGUGUUCUCCACCCUACUAUAAAUUGUCUCAAAAUAGUUUGUGUCUACCAACAAGGUAGUAUAGACUAUAAACUUAAUAAAUAGUAAUUAUUGAUAAUUAUGAGAUACCAGGAUGCUAAUGAAACUUUAUUGCUUGUAUUGAGAAAUGAGAGUAUAAAUUGAGUAUAAAAUGAAAAGACUUGAAUGCUUAGUAAAGCAUAUAAUGUAGCUAAAGUUAUUAAACAGAUAUAUGUAUAUGCCAAUUUGAAUGUCUUUUUAUCGUUGUUCAAUGUAUAGAAUACUUAUUUUUUCCUUUUUUUAGUUGACACAGUAAUUAUACUUACAGGAUACAGAGUGAUAUUUUGAUAUAUCUAUACAAUAUGUAAGGAUCAAAUCAGAGUAAUUAACAUAUCCAUCACUUUAUCAUUUCUUUGUGUUGUGAACAUUCAGAAUCCUCUCUUCUAGCUUUUUGAAAAUAUAUAAUAAAUUACAGUUAACCAUAUUCACCUUGCAGUGUUGUAGAACACCAUAAAACAUUCCAUCUAGCUAUAAUUUUGUAUCCAUUAACCAAACUGUCCCCAUCCUCCUUUUCCCUACCCUUCCCAGCAUCUUAAUACUCACAAUCCUACUCCCUACUUUCAUGAGCUUAAAUUUUACUUAGGUCUCACAUUUGAGUGAGAACAUACAGUAUUUAUCUUUCUGUGCCUGAUCUUUUUCGCCUAAUAUAAUGUCCUACAGGUUUAUCCAUGUUGCCAGGAAGGACAGAAUUCCAUUGUUUUUAUGACCGAAUAGUAUUCCAUUGUGUAUAUAGACCACAUUUUCUUUAUCCAAGCAUCUCUUCAUGGACAUAUAGGUUGAUUCCAUAUCUUGACUAUUAGGAAUAAUGCUAUAUAAUAAGUAUGGGGGUGUGGCUAUCCCUUUGGUAUACUAAUUUCAUGUCCUUUGGUUAUUUUUAAAUACUAUUUAAUAUGCACCUUUCUUUUUAUCAGAAAAUACAUGAAGUAGUAAAUAAAAUAAUCUCAUCUCUAUUUUGGCUUUUGAGGAAGUGGCAAAAAUAUAGUUAUAAUUUGGAAUUAUUUGACUCCAAUUAUUUUGAUCUUAAACUAAUAAGUUGCUUUUCUGGUUUAUUCAUGAAAAUGUCAAUGAAAUAUUUAAUAAUGUGUAUCUGUGUAUUUAUAUAAGGCUCGUAAUAUCCUAUAGCCCUUGAAAGCCAAUAUGGCUCACUUACUUUGCCAUUUUUAAGUUGUCUUUUUAUUAAUGAUUUGUAGAAAAACUAUAUGUCCUGGAUAGAAGUCACUUGUCAGGUAUGCAUAUAGUACAAAUAAUUUUUUUCUGUCUCUGGCUUUUUAUUUUUUUGAUAUUUAUUUACUUAUUUAGAGACUUCGCUCUGUUGCCAGGCUGGAGAGCAGUGGCACCAUCUCGGCUCACUGCAAGCUCUGCCUCCCAUGUUGAAGCGAUUCUCCUGCCUCAGCCUCCCGAGUAGCUGAGACUACAGGCAUCUGCCACCAUGCCCAGCUAAUGUUUUUUGUUUUUGUUUUUGUAUUUUUUGUAUUUUUAGUAGAGACAGGGUUUCGCCAUGUUGGCCAGGAUGGUCUCAAUCUCCUGACUUCAUGAUCUGCCCACCUCGGCCUCCCAAAGUGCUGGAAUUACAGGCGUCAGCCACCGCGCCCGGCCACCUUUUUAUUUUUUCCACGUAUUUUGAUGAGCAAAAGUUUACAAUGUUAAUACAAUCAAUUUAUCAUUCUAAAACACAUUUUGUAGGUGUUGUGCCUUCUUUAGGAAACAUUUGCAUAUUCCAAAGUCAGAAGUAAUUUCUCCAAUGCGUUCUUCUAGAAGACAUACAGUUAUUUAGCCCUCUGUUUAGGCUUAUUAUCCACUCAGUUAAUUUUUGCAUUUCAUGGAAGGUUGGUUUAUUUUUUUAAUAUAUGGAAAUAUAGUUCGGCACCAUGUGGCAACUCUUUCUUUUACCCAUAGAUUUGCUUGGCAUCUUAUCAAAAGUAAAUUAAACAUAUAUGUGUGUAUGUCUAGUUCGGUAAUCUCUAUUCUAUGCUAUUGGUCUAUUUUUCUUUCCUUAGCCAAUACUAGUGUCUCCUGAUAGUGUAUAUUUAUAUUAAAACUUGAGGUUCUGUAAAACAAA